UAAUAUAAAUUGUGAUAAUAACUUAGAGGAAAAGCUUGUAUUUAUUCCUGUGAAUACUAAACGCAUUGAGAAGUUUAGAAAUAAUCUAAGUUCAAGUAUUCAAUUAUUGAAUGGGUCGAAUAGCUCAGAUGAAGCUUUUAAUAAAUUAUUUAAGAUAAUAAGAACCCAAUUUAACAGUAUUUACGCCGAAAUCGGU